CCUACGGGAGGCAGCAGUGGGGAAUAUUGGACAAUGGGCGAAAGCCUGAUCCAGCAAUGCCGCGUGAGUGAUGAAGGCCUUCGGGUCGUAAAGCUCUUUUACCAGGGAUGAUAAUGACAGUACCUGGAGAAUAAGCUCCGGCUAACUCCGUGCCAGCAGCCGCGGUAAUACGGAGGGAGCUAGCGCUGUUCGGAAUUACUGGGCGUAAAGAGUACGUAGGCGGUUAUUCAAGUCAGAGGUGAAAGCCCGGGGCUCAACCCCGGAACUGCCUUUGAAACUAGAUAACUAGAGUCUUGGAGAGGUUAGUGGAAUUCCGAGUGUAGAGGUGAAAUUCGUAGAUAUUCGGAAGAACACCAGUGGCGAAGGCGACUAACUGGACAAGUACUGACGCUGAGGUACGAAAGCGUGGGGAGCAAACAGGAUUAGAUACCCUGGUAGUCCACGCCGUAAACGAUGAUAACUAGUUGUUCGGUCACUUGGUGACUGAGUGACGCAGCUAACGCAUUAAGUUAUCCGCCUGGGGAGUACGGUCGCAAGAUUAAAACUCAAAGGAAUUGACGGCUGAGAGNGCGAGACGACGACGAGGAGAG
rnacentral:rRNA from 1 species